ensembl:lncRNA
GUAAGUCAGACCAACAGUGAGACUCUUUGAAAAAUGACAUUGUUCAUCCCAGAUAUGACGGCUGGACGUCUGUUUUUUGUCAUCCUCAUUUUCUUUCCUGUCGUAUCCAGUUUAAAGAAACCAGAGAUUAGUGUCAGUCAUAAUGAGAAGGAUGUCAUCAUCUCCUGUGAGAUUCCUGGACCUGCUGGUAAUGACACCACUUGUAACCUGUAUGUUGGAGAUCAGAGUCAACAUCUCCAGAACAGAAAGAUCUGGAGGAAAAAAUCAUCCAGGUCCAAGACAUCAUUCUGUCAGUUCACAGUGACUGAAGAUGACCUGAUCAGACAUCUACAGUCAGUAGGGAGUCAGGAGGUGAGCUGUGACUACAGAGUGAGUUCAGGACCAAACUCUCUCUCUCCACGUAGUGACGGGUACAUUAUAACAAAUUUGAUAGCUAGUGCUACUUUGAUCCCCAAAACAACAUUGAGACCAACUACCAGUUCAACCACUUCUUUGACCCCCACAGCAACAACAUCAGGUUCAACCACUUAUUUGACCCCCACGGCAACAACAUCAGGUUCAACCACUUCUUUGACCCCCACGGCAACAACAUCAGGUUCAACCACUUCUUUGACCCCCACAGCAACAACAUCAGGUUCAACCACUUCUUUGACCCACACGGCAACAACAUCAGUGAAAUUAUUAUGGCUUGCAGCAGUGGGUGUGGCUUCUGGAGUGGGCGUGUUCCUGGUGGGAUUGACAGUUGUCUGUCUCCGUAGGAAGACAAAGACGAAGGUAUAUUUAGUAAUAAACAGCCUAAUUUGUUUUACAGAAAGAAACAAAUCUCAGAGACCUCAAGCCCAACAGGAUGAUCAUAUCCAACAAAUUUUGAUGGAAACCAUGUGGAGUGGUGACAGGCAGUGUUCUGUCAGCCCCUCUGUACUGUCUACAUUCAUGCCCUCAGAUGGGUCCAUUCCAAAAAUCUCAAGUAACAAUAUGUUUUCAGUCAUCAAACUACUUUCGCCCACUCUCGAAAAUGAACAGGAUUUCACUUCCAUAUAUAGCCUUGGAAAAUAUGAAGAGACCCCUCCACCUUUUUGACAUUGUGGAGAACGUUUUAACACCGCGACGGAAAUGUGUGUAGGUCAAGGCUUUGAACGCAUGCACCGAAGAUCGAUGUUCACGUGGCUUCUGAGAAAUAUCUGCGUGUGAUAUAUUUGUUGAGUAAUAAUGCUGUGUAUUUAGAUUGUAUUUCUCAAUUUUUUACAUAUUUUCUAACUUUUGUGUAACUUUUCUGAAUUUCCUGGAUGAAGUGUAAUUUCGAAAACUCAAA